rnacentral:lncRNA from 1 species
CACAAAAUUGGCAUGACCAGAUUGUAUUUGUGUCCAGAGAAACACAUCUAUAUAUUAGAAGAUCAAAGACCUUUCUUCGCCGCAAGGCAUACCAGCAGGAGUACUAGUUUUUGCGGGGAAAUCCCGGCUUCGGCAACAGGAAGAACCCAGUGAAAGCCACUGCUGAAAGCCCAAGUUUUUGCGCGCCCGUUUGCAGCGCUGCUUGGCACAGUUUAUGGCACUUGUGUUACUGACUAACUAGGAAAAGGGGGAGCCAUGCUGCUGUAGAGCCAGUUGGGAGGUGGUUUUGGAUCUAGUAUAAAAAGGGCUCGAAAAUCAGCCAAUAUUAUCACAACUUUUUGAACAGUUGAACUCGUCUAGCCUUCCUUACAGCAAAAAAUGGCCAAAUCGCUUCUUAUGAUUUUGAUGGUGUCUUUGGUGCUGCUGGCAAUUGUCAACGAGUACGGUGGGCUCGUGAAUGGACAGUGCUUUUCAUCCCAAGGCAACUGUUGUCGUUGGCGUUGCGAUGGCGCUGUGAACUGUCGUUGCACAUCUUUCUUUGCUGGAAACUGCGGUGCACCAGACAGGUGUGGUGCAUAAUAACCCUAACCGAAAAAGUAGUUCAGCACUUGUUUUACAUGCAACCGAACUGGACCGAAUUUGUUAUCCGACCAAGAUUAUCCGAAACAAUUACAGAAUUUGAAUAACGGGGAAAAAAAUAAGAAAAUCCAAGUCUGUCCUAUCUAAAUCUUCUUGUUUUAAUUAACCCGAGCAAUAUUUGUAUAAUUGUGGAUAUAUUCAAAUAAUCCACUUGGAUAUAUAUUCAACCUUCCAACUCUGAUAAUACACAUCAUACAAAUGCUCAGCA